GACGAACGCUGGCGGCGUGCUUAACACAUGCAAGUCGAACGGAAAGGCCCUGCUUUUGUGGGGUGCUCGAGUGGCGAACGGGUGAGUAACACGUGAGUAACCUGCCCUUGACUUUGGGAUAACUUCAGGAAACUGGGGCUAAUACCGGAUAGGAGCUCCUGCUGCAUGGUGGGGGUUGGAAAGUUUCGGCGGUUGGGGAUGGACUCGCGGCUUAUCAGCUUGUUGGUGGGGUAGUGGCUUACCAAGGCUUUGACGGGUAGCCGGCCUGAGAGGGUUACCGGGCACAUUGGGACUACGAUACGGCCCAGACUCCUACGUGAGGCAGCAGUGGGGAAUAUUGCACAAUGGGCGGAAGCCUGAUGCAGCAACGCCGCGUGCGGGAUGACGGCCUUCGGGUUGUAAACCGCUUUCGCCUGUGCCGAAGCGUGAGUGACGGUAAUGGGUAAAGAAGCACCGGCUAACUACGUG
rnacentral:rRNA from 1 species